UUGGGUUAAUUGAGAACAUGGUUGUUGUUGUUCAAUAAUAAAAUUAAUCCUCAAAAAUACAACUUGCCUAAUAAUUCUGCACUCCCUGUAUAUAUAUUUAUUUUAAUUGGGGUAACCCAAAAAAUAUUGGGACAUAUAAAAAAAAAAAGGAGACAACUCCGCAGAGUUCCGUAGAGUAGCUGUUGACAUUAUAGUUGUGCAGGCACUUUGUUGACUCUAGAGAACCUCGGGCCAAUCGCACAUCCCCGUGGCGGCGACUUUGCAUGCGGAUGUCAUCCAUAUCAAGUUUCGAUGCCAGUUUCUGCGCCUACAAUGGUGACCACGGGUAACAGGGGAUCAGGGUUCCAUACCGUACAGGGACCCUGAGAAAUGGCUACCACGUGCAAGGAAGGCAGCAGGCGCGCAAAUGACCCACUCCCGACGCAGGAAGGUAGUGACGACAAAUAACAAUACAGGACUCUUUAGAGGCCCUGUAAUUGUAAUGAGUCCACCUGAAAUCCUUUAACUCAAUUGGAGGGAAGUCUGGUGCAGAGCCACGGACCCGUGCGUGCUGCAGCUGAAACUCCACUA